CCCGAGCCGGUUCCGCAGGAGGACGACGAAGGGGACGCCUAAAGACUCCAUAGUCACAUUCGUAGUUUUUACUUUCGAGUUUUCUCCCUUAGGUAGUUUGAUCCUUUAUAUUUUGUGAGUACGUUUUUGGUUUUGGUGUAGGGGAUGUUAUUCAAAUUUUGACUUCGCUUCCGCAUUUGAUAUUUUAAUAUACAUUCCAUUAUAAAUU
rnacentral:lncRNA from 1 species